AGAAUCUGCCCUUCAGUGAAGAAUACCCACAAGAAAUUGUGGACAAUGCUGCAUACGUCCCUUCGGGGAGAAAGAUGGCCUCUUUGCCGUCGCUGAAGGAUGAGCUUGCGGGCUAUCAGCUAGUUGGUGAGGUAAUGGCUCACCAAGGCGAUGACGGCUAGCCGGCCUGAGAGGGUGAUCGGCCAGAUUGGGACUGAGAUACGGCCCAG
rnacentral:rRNA from 1 species